rnacentral:rRNA from 2 species
CAUGCAAGUCGAGCGGUAGAGAGGUGCUUGCACCUCUUGAGAGCGGCGGACGGGUGAGUAAUACCUAGGAAUCUGCCUGAUAGUGGGGGAUAACGUUCGGAAACGGACGCUAAUACCGCAUACGUCCUACGGGAGAAAGCAGGGGACCUUCGGGCCUUGCGCUAUCAGAUGAGCCUAGGUCGGAUUAGCUAGUUGGUGAGGUAAUGGCUCACCAAGGCUACGAUCCGUAACUGGUCUGAGAGGAUGAUCAGUCACACUGGAACUGAGACACGGUCCAGACUCCUACGGGAGGCAGCAGUGGGGAAUAUUGGACAAUGGGCGAAAGCCUGAUCCAGCCAUGCCGCGUGUGUGAAGAAGGUCUUCGGAUUGUAAAGCACUUUAAGUUGGGAGGAAGGGCAGUUACUUAAUACGUGAUUGUCUUGACGUUACCGACAGAAUAAGCACCGGCUAACUCUGUGCCAGCAGCCGCGGUAAUACAGAGGGUGCAAGCGUUAAUCGGAAUUACUGGGCGUAAAGCGCGCGUAGGUGGUUUGUUAAGUUGAAUGUGAAAU